CAUAGACGUGUUCAAAUCAUUUAAGGCUGAAGUUGAAAAUCAAUUAAGCAAAAGAAUUAAAUCCGUUAGAUCUGACCGUGGUGGUGAAUACUAUGGCCGAUAUAAUGGUUCAGGUGAACAACGUCUAGGGCCUUUUGCUAAAUUCCUAGAUGAGUGUGGGAUCGUCCCUCUGUAUACUAUGCCAGGCAAUCCUACGAUGAAUGGUGUAGCUGAGAGGCGAAAUCGGACCCUUAAGGAUAUGGUAAGAAGUAUGAUCGUCCCUCAAUAUACUAUGCCAGGAAGUCCUACGAUGAAUGAUGUAGCUGAGAGACGAAAUAGGACCCUUAAGGAUAUGGUAAGAAGUAUGAUUUCUCGUACUUCUUUGCCAGACUCACUCUAGGGUGAAGCAUUAAAAACUGCAACUUAUAUUCUUAAUAGAGUUCCAACUAAAGCUACAAUCAAAACCCCUUAUGAACUUUGGACUGGGAUAAACCCUGUAUUCGGCAUUUACACAUUUGGGGUUGUCCAGCUGAGGUAAGGACUUAUAGGCCGAAUGAAAAGAAACUGGAUGCUAAGACGGUUAGUAGCUAUUUUGUUGGNN
rnacentral:lncRNA from 1 species